rnacentral:lncRNA from 1 species
CUCUGAUUCUCGGACCGGCGACCACUGCUCCGGCGACGCACCGGCGACCCACUGCUCCGGCGAGCUCCGGCGAUCUCCGGCGACCUCAGGUAGGUCCAUUUUUUUUGGUUUUUUUUAGUUAUUUUUCGUUUUUUAGUUGUUUUUUUAAUUUUUAUAGCAGUUUAUUUCAUUUAAACACUAGAUUAUUUUGAUUAUUUCAUAUUUUCUGAAAUUUUUCAGUUUAAGAUUAUGAUUACAAAUUUAGUUGUCAUUUUUUCUUAUUUGUAAUCUGAAGGAGAAGAGGAAGAAGGGUUUGCUCCUUUGGAUGAUGAUGAAGAUGAUGACUACGUGGAUGUUGAUGAGGAGGACUAGCAUUAUUAUCUAUCUAUCUAUUUCUUAUGUCUUAUGCUUGAAGUUGAAGACUUGAACUUAUUAUUGCAUUUUGUUAUGUUUAAACUUUGAACUUAGGAAUAUGUCAUGUUUAAACUUAGGAUAUCAAGUUUUCUAUGAUUUUUCUUGGAUUUUGCAUGUUUUAAUUUCAUAAUUUGCAUAUAUAUAAGUAUAUAUAUUAUUAUUUUAUUAAUCCGCCAUGCGUCCGCCAUAACCCGCCAUGGCACCCGCCAUAUCCUUAUGGCGGUUUUCAGGCCGGACCGCCAUGGACCGCCAUCCGCCAUCGAUAACAUUGCU